UAGAGAGGCCCCUCCCACGUCCUGUCUCAUCCUUCUGUCUACCCUCCUAAUUAUUGGCCUGGGAGGGGCCAAGGUUUUAAAAAGGAUUUCCCUUCUUUGACUAAAAGUCAGUGACUUUAGGUGGUAAGUUCCCAAGCUCAGAGUCUUGGCAGCUGGAGGAGACAAACUCCCUUGCUUGCUCCCUCUUCUCCUUGCUCUCGCUUUCUUUCUUUCUCUUUCCUUCCUUUCUUUCUUUCAAGGUGGAAUUAUCACAGCAAAGACCUGUCGGCCAGGACUUCUGUCCCAGGAAUGUCCCCAUGGCUAGAGAGACUCUGGCAACAGAACACAUAUGAUGCCACAUGCAAAACCCUCUUCUGGACUGGCCCGUCUCUGCCAACUGCCAAAGGGGUUCCCCUGGAUGUCUCUCCAUUGUGCCGCUGCCAGCUGGGGUUCCUGGUGAUGUGAUUUUAUUUUGGUGCUUAGAAUCACAUUGCCAGGGAUUUCCAACCAUCAGUGAGCUACCGCACCUGAGAAGUGAGACUGAGGACGAGACGGAGAAGUAGGUUAGGCUCUCUUGCUGCACCAGAAGGUGGUAAAAAGCAUGUGCGUAUAAAGCAGCCUACUUCACACAGAUGCCGUAAAAAUACAAAAAAUCAUUAACAUCUUUACUUGGCUAUUUUUUGUUUUUGUUUUAUUUUGUUUCGUUUUGUCCUUGGAUCCUCCUCCCUCCUGUUACAAAAGAAACAUGAUUUGGGGAAUUAUGUGACUUGACUUGAUGGGGAAAGCUGGGGGCCAUAUUUAUGGGAAUACAAUGUCCCAGGGUAGUGAGGAAAGACCUUUUUUCAGAUGACAAGCCGCAGGGCUUAGCCCACCUGUGAACAGCAUUGGAUUCAGCCAUGUUCACAGUGGCUAAGUUCCGCUGCUUGGAGUUCAUUAUCUUCACACCAAAUACUUUCCCUCCAAGAAAGGAUCCCAAGGCAGCCGACUGAUCCAAAGAGCCACCAGGAUAGUUCU